CCUACGGGUGGCAGCAGUGAGGAAUAUUGGUCAAUGGACGAGAGUCUGAACCAGCCAAGUAGCGUGAAGGAUGACUGCCCUACGGGUUGUAAACUUCUUUUAUAUGGGAAUAAAAUGUUCCACGUGUGGGAUUUUGUAUGUACCAUAUGAAUAAGGAUCGGCUAACUCCGUGCCAGCAGCCGCGGUAAUACGGAGGAUCCGAGCGUUAUCCGGAUUUAUUGGGUUUAAAGGGAGCGUAGGUGGAUUGUUAAGUCAGUUGUGAAAGUUUGCGGCUCAACCGUAAAAUUGCAGUUGAAACUGGCAGUCUUGAGUACAGUAGAGGUGGGCGGAAUUCGUGGUGUAGCGGUGAAAUGCUUAGAUAUCACGAAGAACUCCGAUUGCGAAGGCAGUUCACUGAACUGCCACUGACACUGAGGCUCGAAAGUGUGGGUAUCAAACAGGAUUAGAUACCCCUGUAGUC
rnacentral:rRNA from 1 species